UACGUAGGGGGCAAGCGUUGUCCGGAAUCAUUGGGCGUAAAGAGCGUGUAGGCGGCUCGAUAAGUCCGUUCUGAAAGUCCAGGGCUCAACCCUGGGAUGCGGAUGGAUACUGUCGGGCUCGAGUCCGGAAGAGGCGAGUGGAAUUCCUGGUGUAGCGGUGAAAUGCGCAGAUAUCGGGAAGAACACCCGUGGCGAAGGCGGCUCUCUGGGACGGUACUGACGCUGAGACGCGAAAGCGUGGGGAGCGAACAGG
rnacentral:rRNA from 1 species